UUUAGGUGGAAGGCCUAGAAAUCAUCUAAUUGAGUACAGUAUUAAAUUUAUGGGUUGAGAAACCUUUAGGUGGAAGUCCUAGGAAUAAUCUAAUUGAGUACAGUAUUAAAUUUAUGGGUUGAGAAACCUUUAGGUGGAAGUCCUAGGAAUAAUCUAAUUGAGUACAGUAUUAAAUUUAUGGGUUGAGAAACCUUUAGGUGGAAGUCCUAGAAAUUAUCUAAUUGAGUACAGUAUUAAAUUUAUGGGUUGAGAAACCUUUAGGUGGAAGUCCUAGAAAUUAUCUAAUUGAGUACAGUAUUAAAUUAAGGGUGUGGAAACCUUUGGGUUACAGGCCCAGGAAAUUCCAUUGUGCACUUGAUUCUGCAGUUGUAUUUGGGUAUAUUUCAUUUUGAUGUUGUAUAUAUAUAGAGGAAUUGUAUUUACAGUUGUAUAAAGAAUGGUUGAAUUUCAGAAAGAGUGUGAUGAAUAUGUGUGUUCACCGGUGUAUGUGCCAUGGAAAAAAUGAUAAUAGUUUGGAAAGGGACCAACUGUAAAAGACUGAGAGAAAGAGUUGAGAAUUUGGACAAGAUUGGCUCUGGUUGCUGCUGCCAUGCAGGCUAUUGAAUCAAAUAGAAAAGGGGAAGUUUACAGUGGUGCAGCUGCAAAGCAACAGGAAGUUAAACAAGGAAACGGUCAGCCAGACUCAAGUGUGACACCUACGGCUCCUCCUCCAGCUCCACCCCCAGUGAAAUCGAUCUACCCCUCCUUGCACACACCUACUCCUUAUGAGAAAGCCAAAGCCCCAAUGCAACAGCCUGUUUUUCAAAUCAAUAGCGGUGAAUUAAAUGUAGAUGUAGAUUUUAUUUGUGUGAAAAUGUAGUGUGUCUGUGAUAUAUUGAGUCUGUUAAAACCAUAAAUGGGAUUAAGCAAAAUCUAGCAGAAAGACAGAGGCGAAGCUUUUAAAGAAAAACAACAAAUUACAGAAAACAGUAGAGACCAAGUUAUUAAAUGUGGAAAUGAAGAUGAACAAUUGAAAAAGGACAGAAAAUUGUUAAAAGGUGAAUGACACAGAUAAAUUGUAUAAAGGACAAAAAGAUAUAACAAAAUGAAGAGGAGUCUUCAUCUGAUGAUGGAAGGUGGUCACAAAAUAAAUUUUAUUUUAAAUUGAAAGGCAAUAUUUUGCAAUGGGUUAAGUUAAACCUUGAAAGGCUGAAAGCUCUCAUCCUUUGACAUUCAAGAAAGUGACUAAAAAGCUGGCAAGAAACAGACAAUGAAAAACUGUGUGUGAUAUCAAAGUGCUGGAGUUGCAAAGAGAGGAGUAACUCAUAAACUGGACUGAAAGCACAUUCUAUUUGAAUGGGACUAUACUUGAACUAAAGCGGUGAAGGGGGCACUGCAUAUGGUCAGAGACAUUUACAAGGAUGAAACACCAAAAAGACUGAGUGGAAUCCAGAAAGAGACUAACAAAGACAAUAAUGUUCUUGGAGGCAAGAGAAACUGGACAAUAUUUCACUGGACACUGAACUUUCUCAUCUUCAUACGAGCCUUUGAGUGAAAAAGGGGAAAGAGUAAACAGCCGUUCAAUGUUUAGUAAAGACCUUGUUACUAUAGGGACACAGACAAUCUUUAUGCAAAAAUCAGCUAGACAAAUUUAAAGGCUGAUCAAGACCUUUGUUGUUAGGUGUGACUACCUGUUCUGAAAUCAAAUCAGACUCCUAUUAAUCUGACAGGAAGAAAUGCAUAAUUGAAUUUGGUAUCUACAGAGGACGUCAGAACUCCACUGAUGGUAUUAAGCUAAAAAGCAAAUAUAAAUAGCAUAGAACAGCUAUGGCAGAAAGGAAAUUGAAAUAGAAAAAAUAAAAAAAUAAAAAAAAGAGAACACCAUAGAACACAAUAGAAGGUAAACAAGAAAAGCUGUGAGAAUAGAAAACUAACUGAUUAUUGUAACAAACUUUGUAUUUAAGGAAAUUGCCAGCCAAGACAUCAUAUAUGUGCAUGAAGGUGUUCACAUGGCAGAUCUAAUCACUGAGGGUGAGCCACAGGAUUGCAUACCAUUGACUGAGAUAAAAAUUAUUAUUAUUGUAAUUAAUUAUAAUUGUUAUACCAUUGACUGAAAAAGCAAAUAAAUUGAGAGAUGGUUUGUUCGCGGUACCACUGACAACUACCCCACCGUUAAUCACACUGUUUACAGAUGGUUGUUGUUUCAGAGCAGCAGAUGACAAAUUGAAGGCAGUCUUUGCUGUGGUUGAACAGGUUGAAAAUUGUUUUGUGACUAGAGUGAGUGGUAAAUUGGAGGGUAAGCAGUCAGCACUGAGAGCUGAAAUAAUAGCUGUUAUCAAAGCCUUGCACUACACUGGUGAAGAGAGGGUGAUUGUUUAUAGUGACUGUGCAUAUGUGAUUGGUGCAGUAUAUAUGGAACUGCCAUAUGGCAGAUAGGUGGGUUUGAAACCAGGAAAGGCCGGCCUAUAGUAAAUGCUAGCAAAGCCUGACACAUAUUACAGGCUGUUAAGGUACCUAAUGACGUGGCUGUUGUCAACUGCCUAAUAAACCACUUAUAUCCCCAACCAUGGUUUCCAAAGACAAAGUUAGAUCUGACAAAAUUGACAAACACGUACUGGAAUUGACAUAUAGUUUCGGGGCUGCUUAUCACCCCAAUGUAAGAGCAAAGAUGAAAUAAUGAACCUGACUUUGACAUUAAAACUUGACUUGACAAACUAUGUGCACAGACAAAAAUAACAUGGCUUGACGCAUUACCAAUUGCAUUAAUGUCUAUUCGCUCUUCUGUUAACAGGAUUUCUGGUUUCACACCAUUUGAAUUGCUUACAGGUCGACAGUUUCCAGGUCCAAGGCAUGACGUGGUGCAGGAUCCCAUCCUGCCUCUAACACAUGACGUUUCAUCUGACAAACUAACUGCUAUGAUUGAAAAUUUUUCGUGACAGGCUACCACACAACGACAUUGUGGGAACAACCCAGCAGUUAUAUAUGAUGAUUGGGUUUCUAACAGACACAGGUGUGGACCUGAGGACUCAGGUCCAAGAGAGGGAGAGUGUUAAAAGUGAAAGUGAAUCAGCUGGAAUACAGAGAAGACAAACAGGAAGUGGUAACACAUCAGUGGUAACACUCACACAACACCAACAACAAAGUCAACAAACACUCUGUAAAAUUGUGCAUAAAAGAGGUGACAUUUUUUCCAGCCCAGUAACAGAACCCCUAGCACACUGUGUGAGCACAGAUUGUGCCUACGGAGCAGGUAUAGCCGUACAGUUCAAAGCGAAGUACGGUACACAAAAGGUUGUAAGACAGAACAAACACACAGGUGAAUGUGCAAUUACCCAUGAGGACGACGGCAGAUUGAUUUUUCAUUUAAUAACAAAACAAAAUUGUACUGAUUUACCAACAUAUGAGAAUUUUACCCACAGCCUAAGACGUAUGAGAGAGUGGUGUGAGAAAGAAAACAUAACAAGUGUAUGCACUCCCCGGCUGGGGUGUGGCCUGGAUAAAUUGGAUUUCCACAAAGUGCUGGAAAUCCUGACAGAAGUGUUUAGAGACCUGAAUAUCACAAUUACCAUAUAUUCAUUAUAACCUGGAGAUGAAGCUAUAUGCAAAUUGGAAGGUUCUGUGGGCUGUAGGAGUUAUAACGGCAAUUGUAGUCACCAUAAUAUUUGGCAUAAACAAUGGAGAUCCCUGUGUAACAGACUGAUAGUGUCUGCAAUAGAGAAAAAAGAAAAUCCACCCAAAUACAGCAUGCGCUAUUAGGCCUACAGAACCUGGAUGAGGAGGAGGAAGAAAAUGUGUGACCUCUUUCAGAGGUCAAGAGAGGGAAUUGUGGGAUUUUUAUGUUGUUUUAUUAAUCUUGCUAAUUGCUAAAAGUGUUAAAGUUACAAAGAUGUCCAAAUAAGGACUGUGGAAAUUGAUUUUGUUCCAUUUUUAUAUUUCUUUAAUUGAUCAUUUUAUUCUAUAAACAUUGUGUGUUUCAUAUAUGCACUGAGCUAUUAUGUAGAAAUGAGGUGUUUAUGUUUGAGAGUGGAGAGUUACCAGUUUUUGUGUGUGUGCUGCAAGGAGGAAUUUAGGAAUUUACGCCUGGCAUAGAUCAAGAUAAGAGAGAGGCCUGAGGGGGAAAGCAAACAGGCGACUAUGUCAUUAACUAAUGCCUUAAUGUUCACAGGAUAAAAUAUGCAAUGUAUUUCUUACUUAAUCAGUAUUAAUCAUUGAAUAAUUGAUGUAAUAAAUAUAAGAUGUUGUCUUUGAUAAAUUUGUAUUAACCAAUGAAAUGAAGGUUGCAUAUAGAAUAACUUAAUGGGGGCAGGGCAGUUCAACCUUGAAGAAACAGAAUCUCCUGUGUGUGUGUAUGUGUGUGUGUGUGUUUUCUUUCCUCACAGAUGGUUUUAAUAAUGAUUAAAGUGUUUCCUUAGAAGUAGUAUUGCAGUAAAAGAUUUAAUAUGUGUUUAUCUAUCUAAAGAAGUUAAUGUGUGCCCUAUUCAUAUAACCAAUUUUACAAAUAAUGAAAUGAUGUCAUGAUAUUGAAAUAUGUUUUACAUAAUAAUCACUUUCAUCUUACAGCUUAUGUUUUUUAUAAAUGAAUGUUUUAUUAAUGAUUUGUUUUUAAGAAAGCAUUAUAACAUGCUAUGUGAAGUGGAGGAGUACUGGAGAGGAACUGCAGGGCUCCCAGGGAUGAGAGGAGAACAGUUUGUUUUUCUUUGUCUAUGUGUGUCCAUCUUUGCCUACAGGCUAAAAUUGGGUGUGGUGAUGGAGUCAGAUGGACGAGGGGAACGGCCUUUGUGGGUGGAGAUUUUCUGAAGAAAGAUCGACGUCACAUAUUUUAUAUAUAUGCAUGUUACUUCCUGAGCUGGUUGUUCGCUACUUGAGAGGACCCAGCGCUGUUAAACUUUUUCAAUCUGAUCAAUAAAUAUUUGAACUUA